rnacentral:rRNA from 1 species
AACGAACGCUGGCGGCAGGCUUAACACAUGCAAGUCGAGCGCCCCGCAAGGGGAGCGGCAGACGGGUGAGUAACGCGUGGGAAUCUACCCAUCUCUACGGAAUAACGCAUGGAAACGUGUGCUAAUACUGUAGACGUCCUUCGGGCGAAAGAUUUAUCGGAGGUGGAUGGGCACGCGUUGGAUUAGCGAGUUGGUGGGGUAAAGGCGUAACAAGGCGACGAUCGAUAGGUGGUCUGAGAGGGUGAUCAGCCACACUGGGACUGAGACACGGCCCAGACUCCUACGGGAGGCAGCAGUGGGGAAUAUUGGACAAUGGGCGCAAGCCUGAGCCAGCCAUGCCGCGUGAGUGAUGAAGGCCCUAUGGUUGUAAAGCUCUUUCACCGGUGGAGAUAAUGACGGUAACCGGGGAAGAAGCCCCGGCUAACUUCGUGCCAGCCGCCGCUGUAAAAC